rnacentral:rRNA from 1 species
UUCCGGAGAGGGAGCCUGAGAAACGGCUACCACAUCCAAGGAAGGCAGCAGGCGCGCAAAUUACCCAAUCCAGACAUUGGGAGGUAGUGACGAGAAAUACUGGGGGUGCUCCAUGCGGGUACCAUCCGGAAUGAACGUAACACAAAAAAUUCGAUGAGGAUCUACUGGAGGGCAAGUCUGGUGCCAGCAGCCGCGGUAAUUCCAGCUCCAGUAGUGUAUAUCAACAUUGUUGCGCUUAAAACGCUCGUAGUUGGAUUACAGAGUCUCAAACAUUUACACGGUCAACAAUAGGCUGGUAGGUGGUCUUUGGCGUGGGCAGUUGGGUAGAAAUAUCGGCUGUCGUGGCUGGACGGGACUCUUUUUUCGCACUGGCCCUAGGCUAACUUCUUUAUUGGGGCAGUCUAGUUGUCGGUGGAGUGUGCCUUGAAUAAAGCAUAGUGCUCAAAGCAGGCGUACGCUCGUGUGUAAUAGCAUGGAACGAAUAUCAAUUGGCCGAGAGUAGGGUGAAGUAUUUGGGCAGUUGAAAUACAAAAUAUUGAUACUGGACUGAAUGCCGUCUAUUUUUGGGCUCGAUCAGUGUUGGUUGGAGCCACGGUCUCAACGGUUAACAGGGACACCUGAGGGCACUAGUACUUUGUGGCGAGAGGUGAAAUUCUUAGACCCACAAAAGACUGACUACUGCGAAAGCAUUUGCCAAGAGUGUUUUCAUUAAUCAAGAACGAAGGUCAGAGGAUCGAAGACGAUCAGAUACCGUCCUAGUUUUGACAGCAAACUAUGCCAGCAUAGGGUUGGAACGGUCGCCGGUUAACAGCCGGUUGAACUUUUUCAGGCCUUAAGGGAAACCUAGCUUUCGGGCUGCUGGGAGAAUAUCGCUGCAAGGCUGAAAUUUAAAGAAAUUGACGGAGAGGCACCACCAGGAGUGGAGCCUGCGGCUUAAUUUGACUCAACACGGGGAAACUCACCAGGUCCAGACAUUGGUAGGAUUGACAGACUGGUAGAUCUUUCAUGAUUCAGUGAAUGGUGGUGCAUGGCCGUUCUUAGUUGGUGGAGUGAUCUGUCAGGUCUAUUCCGGUAACGAGCGAGACCACGGCCUUUAGUUGCGACUCUGCGGUGGUUAUUUUUGUUGGGUAACACUGAUAAAAAUAACAAUACACCGUAGUUGACUAAACUAGAGGGACAAUUGGUGCAUUUCAAAGCCAGGGGAAGCGUGGCAAUAACAGGUCUGUGAUGCCCUUCGAUGUCCUGGGCAGCACGCGCGCUACAAUGGCAGCAGUAGAGAGUUGGGCUGGCCAGAGAUGGCUGGUAAAACUGUAAAUGGCUGUCGUGAUUGGGAUUGAGCCUUGUAAUUUUUGCUCAUGAAAGAGGAAUUCCUCGUAAGCACGAGUCAUCAGCUCGUGUUGAAUACGUCUCUGCCUCUUGUACACACCGCCCGUCGCUACUACCGAUUGAAUUGUUUCUAAAGCUGGCUGGACCGGACUAGUGGCUAUUGUUGC